UGAUGAUUACAGGACGACUGAUGGGUCUUUACGCCAGAGGCAAUGCCUGUGAGAGGCUGUGGCUGACUAGCAGAUGAGAACAUGCCAUUUCAAGAAGUCAGCCCUGCACAAGCGUCACACUCCCACUCCGAGUUCACAGGACAGCACAAGCAGACGAGCACUCGAGAGCUGGCUUCGUUUCUCCACUUCUAGCUGCGACCCGGUGGUUGGUAGAGGCUUCCACACUUAGGAGGGGGAUGCGUACUUCCGGAGCCCACGCUGCCUUCAGAAAACCACCAGACGUGCUGAGAUCAAUACAGCAAAGGACUUCUCAACACGAGCAAGGACGUCGUCUAGCGUCGGGUCUCUCUCAGCCCGUGCCUUCUCCUGUGAGAACCCCAGGAUUUCUCCCCUGGAUGGGGCCCGAGAGUGACAGGCUGACUUUCCUAAGAAGUCGCCCGAGCCACCAUGAAGAGCGCCAGAGAAACGAGUCAGUGUUCGGAGCGGCG